CAUAAAUGGUCUCGACAGAGGUGAGAUGCGUGGGUGUCAUGGCUGGUCUUGGUAGAGAAAUGCUCCCACUAAUUUCUAAAAUGAAAGGAUUUUGGAUUGAACAAAGUAGUGCUUCACCAAUUAGAAAAAAGGGAUAAUCUUUAUUGAGACUUGUAGCUGGUCCCAUAGCUCUUUUAAUCAUUUUGGAGAGUUUGUUAAAACAACAAGGGAUUUCUCCAGCCAAACUAUUUUUAGAAAGGUCCAAAAUUUGUAGAUUAGUGAGUUGACAUAGUUGUAAAGGAAUACUACUAGUCAACAUAUUUAUUAUUUUGAAUUCUUAGAAUCUGCAGUGCAGAAAAGUUUUUUCCAAUCCAAGUUGGUAUAAUUCCAGAAAAAUUAUUUCCUCCGAGAUCCAUAAGUUCAAACUGCCCACAAUUACUUAAGGCUUGAGGGAGCUCUCCAUGGAGAUUAUUGUCGUUCAAGUGCAACCAUAUCAGUGACGACAGGUUUUCAUUGCUUGUAGAGUAAGUAAAUCUAAUGGUCAAGCAGAUGAUCCCUACCGCAAACCAAAACCAGGGAUGUGGCAUCUUUUGGAAAAACACUUCAACUCUGGCAUUUCUAUUGAUAUGGAUAAAUCCUUUUAUGUUGGUGAUGUUGCUGGAAGAGAAAAUGAUCAUAGUGAUGCUGAUAUAAAAUUUGCAGAGGUACCGACUUUUUCUUACUUUUUUUUUUAUGAAGGUAAAAAGACAAUGUUCCUCAUUUUGUUAUAUUAUAACAAACUGAGUUUCUGUCCUUCGACCUACUAGUUUUCAAGUAAGCAUUUAGUAUUACUGUAGUAUACUUGUGUCAAAUUUGUAAUUCUACACUAAAUUCAAGGUGUCUGAUGAGUCCGUUUUUAGCAUAGUUUUUAACAUGUGUUUAGGGUAAGUUUGAGUCAUUUUGGUGGAGUGUUAUGCGGCAUUAUGCUUGUUUUGGUAUGUUUGCAGGAAAUAGGAGAAGGAAAUAUGAAGUUUGGGAAAAGACUGAAACAUCAGCUUAAUUUAGGAAAUUUAUGCUAAAAGUUGAAAAGAAGAAAGUCGAGGAUUCAUUUGCCGAGAUAAUUGUUCGUUUUGGAGUUUUGGAACAAGUUUUUGGGGUCAAUACGAAGGGCUACAUCGCUUGAAUGAAAAGCGCAGCGCAAGGAAGAAGCAGAGAGGGCCACUUUCUGGAGUUUUGAAGGGUCGCGGCGCAUGGGAGAAGGGCCGCGACGCUUGCUGAAAAUAGAAAGCGUGUUACGCAAAUUCAAAGAGGCGCGCCGCGGCACUUAAAUGCCAGCACCGCGGUGCGUGUAUUGGUUGCGUGGCUAUCAGAAGGGCGAAAAUCGUUAAACAUUUUUAGGGUUUCUAUUUAAAUACGUUUUUAAGAGUUAAUUAGGGGAGGGAUUCAUUUUUUAUGUGUGGAGAAAUUAUUAGAGACUUGGGAGAACAUUGAAGACUUGAUAGUUUGAUUUCUUGAUCUCUUCUAUAUUUCUCUUUUCUGGAGUUUAUGUUUAAUUAUAAUUUGAUUGA